rnacentral:tRNA from 1 species
AAAGGGAGACCUAAUUCAGGUAGGAGACGAAAAAAAAGUAGUCCCUACCAAGAAUCAAUCCCAAAAGGUCGGAGCGAGGCGAAAUUGGCUUUCAAACUAGGUUCUGGGUUCAAACAAGACCUGAAUCAGGAACAAGGGCUAUUAGCUCAGGUGGUUAGAGCGCACCCCUGAUAAGGGUGAGGUCCCUGGUUCGAGUCCAGGAUGGCCCACCUGCACAGGUGGCAAAAACAAGAGAAGCGAGGAAUCAGCACCUUAUCUUACUGACAUAGUAAGAGAGAAUGCUGGCUCUGAGUAAAGAGUCCAGAGGAACCUUGAAAACUGCAUAGAGCUAGGUGAAAAAGCCAAAAAAGAAGACCGCAAG